AUUGUACGCUGGCGGCAUGCCUUACACAUGCAAGUCGAACGGUAACAGGCCGCAAGGUGCUGACGAGUGGCGAACGGGUGAGUAAUGCAUCGGAACGUGCCCAGUCGUGGGGGAUAACUGCUCGAAAGAGCAGCUAAUACCGCAUACGACCUGAGGGUGAAAGCGGGGGACCGUAAGGCCCCGCGCGAUUGGAGCGGCCGAUGUCAGAUUAGCUAGUUGGUGGGGUAAAGGCCUACCAAGGCAACGAUCUGUAGUUGGUCUGGGAGGACGACCAGCCACACUGGGACUGAGACACGGCCCAGACUCCUACGGGAGGCAGCAGUGGGGAAUUUUGGACAAUGGGCGCAAGCCUGAUCCAGCAAUGCCGCGUGCAGGAAGAAGGCCUUCGGGUUGUAAACUGCUUUUGUCAGGGAAGAAAUCUUCUGGGCUAAUACCCCGGGAGGAUGACGGUACCUGAAGAAUAAGCACCGGCUAACUACGUGCCAGCCGCCGCCGUAAAAC
rnacentral:rRNA from 1 species